ensembl:snRNA U6 U6 spliceosomal RNA
GUACUAGUCUUCUAGUGCAUAUACUAAAACUGGAAUGAUACAGAGAAGAUUAGCAUGGAUGACACUCAGAAUAGUGUUCAUCUUUUU